GGCUUGGGGAGCUGCAUGGCUGGUCCCUGCCCAGGACUGUGUGCUAUGCAGACAGUCCUGGAGUGCCAAGAGCAGAGAGGCUGUUAUUCCAUAAAUCUGCCUCUGCUAUAUCCAAGGCAAAUCUAAUUUAAACUUGAGUUUUGAGGAUUUAAGUGGGGAAAAGCCUUGUCCUUGUUUUUUACAGAAGAGGUGUUUUGAGAGGAGCUGGUAUUUCUCUGAUGCUCAGUACCCCUCCCCAUGAGCCUGUUUUUGCCACAGUGUUGGACAGCCAGCUGGACUUGAGUAACACUGGGAGACAAACCUCAGAGCCAGUGCUGAGAACCUGUGCUGUGAUUGACCUCCUUGCAGUUGUUAUGGGUACAGAUAAUGAAGCUGGAAUCAUGAAAUGAGCACAAACACAGGAAUGGUCUCUUGCUGCUG
rnacentral:lncRNA from 1 species